AUUCUGAAUUUAAUCAAGUUGAAGUUCACGAAUGGCCUGCAGCACCGAGGUGGCACAGGAAUACAACACGGUGUCAUCUGCAUAGAGAUUAAUGUUACAAGUGUUAAGUGUUUCCUAUGUCAUUAAUAUACAAAAGUGAACAAUAAUGGACCCAAAAUCAAACCCUGAGGAACACCUUUUUGAAUCUCAAGAUAAUUCAGAUUUAACCCCAUCUAUCAAGAUGGGCUGAGUUCUGUCACUAAGAUAAUUCAGAUUUAACCCCAUCUAUCAAGAUGGGCUGAGUUCUGUCGCUAAGAUAAUUCAAAUUUAACCCCAUCUAUUAAGAUGGGCUGAGUUCUGUCGCUAAGAUAAUUCAGAUUUAACCCCAUCUAUCAAGAUGGGCUGAGUUCUGUCGCUAAGAUAAUUCAGAUUUAACCCCAUCUAUCAAGAUGGGCUGAGUUCUGUCGCUAAGAUAAUUCAGAUUUAACCCCAUCUAUCAAGAUGGGCUGAGUUCUGUCGCUAAGAUAAUUCAGAUUUAACCCCAUCUAUCAAGAUGGGCUGAGUUCUGUCGCUAAGAUAAUUCAGAUUUAACCCCAUCUAUCAAGAUGGGCUGAGUUCUGUCGCUAAGAUAAUUCUGAAACCAUAAACAGGCUGUAUAGCUCAGGCCGACUCUUGAUCAUUUCCUCAGCAAAACAGAAUGAUCAACAGUGUCGAACGCCUUUGGCAGAUCAAUAAACAAGGCAGCACAGCGAUUUUUAGCAUCCAAGGCAUUGACAAGAUCAUUAACAACUAGCAUAGUUGCUGUGGUAGUACUAUGCCCAGGCCUAAACCCUGAUUGGUUUAUAUUGAAAAUACAGUUAUCAGAUAAAAAUAACUAAGUUGUACAUUAAACAAGGAUUCAUGAAUCUUAGCUAAACAAUACUAGUCUUGAAAUGGGGCGAUAGUUGUCAAGAUCAUUUGUAUCCUCACCCUUAUGGGGGCGAUAGUUGUCAAGGUCAUUUGUAUCCUCACCCUUAUGGGGGCGAUAGUUGUCAAGGUCAUUUGUAUCCUCACCCUUAUGGGGCGAUAGUUGUCAAGGUCAUUUGUAUCCUCACCCUUAUGGGGGCGAUAGUUGUCAAGGUCAUUUGUAUCCUCACCCAUAUGGGGGCGAUAGUUGUCAAGGUCAUUUGUAUCCUCACCCUUAUGGGGGCGAUAGUUGUCAAGGUCAUUUGUAUCCUCACCCUUAUGGGGGCGAUAGUUGUCAAGGUCAUUUGUAUCCUCACCCUUAUGUGGGCGAUAGUUGUCAAGGUCAUUUGUGUCCUCACCCUUAUGGGGGCGAUAGUUGUCAAGGUCAUUUGUAUCCUCACCCUUAUGGGGCGAUAGUUGUCAAGGUCAUUUGUAUCCUCACCCUUAUGGGGGCGAUAGUUGUCAAGGUCAUUUGUAUCCUCACCCUUAUGGGGGCGAUAGUUGUCAAGGUCAUUUGUAUCCUCACUCUUAUGGAGUGGCAGCACAUACGCAGAUUUCCAGGCUUUUGGAAUACUUCCUGAUAACAAUGUGAAGUAAAAAAUGUGGGCUACUGAACCAGCAUUAAUGGGUGCUGCACAAUUAAGCAGACCAGGCUCCAAAUGAUUAGCACCUGUGGAUUUUUGUUGUUGUUGUCUAAUGUUAUCCAGGACUUAACAGUGAAUUUCCAAUAGAACUCCUGACCAGCAUUUUCAGUAUCAUUCCAAACGACACUACACCAAACUCAACAUCCAAACGACACUACACCGAACUCAACAUCCAAACGACACUACACCAAACUCAACAUCCAAACGACACUACACCAAACUCAACAUCCAAACGACACUUUUAAAGAGCUGGCUUUGAAAUACAUUCAAAUAAAAAGCCUGCAGAGAUAAAAGGGUGAUUAAAUACAUUAAUGAUAUCAAUUUUUCAGGAGUAGGGACAGAAUCUGAGUUAGUUUAUUGGGGGAGAGAAGAGGACACACAACCCUUCAGUGAUUUAACAGCUUUCCGGAAUUUAGCUGGGUUCCCUGUACAUCAGAUAUUGUAUUAACAUAAUAAUCUGAUUUCGCUUUUUAAACUAGUUUUACACACAGAUUUCUCAAUCGCCUGAAAGACUGUGAAAGAGAAAUUAGGUAUUUAUCUGAUUUGUUAACUGCCGGUCUGGGCCUGACUCUGUGAAUCUAGCUUUGGCCCAGGCAGCAUCUCGGUUCUGUAUGACUUCAGAUAGCUCUGGACUGAACCAAGGGCAAUACCUAUUUUUAAUGAUCCGUUUUUUAAAGGGAGCAUGUUUAUCUACAAUACAUUUGAGAAGUGGUUCAGAGCCAACUCUGGGUCAGGUACAGAUGCAAUACACUCAAAGUCCCCAAAAUAAAGGUCACAAUAAAAGGCCUUCAUUAUAAUGUUUAAAAUUCCUCUUGUUGAUAAAACGAGGUUUGGAUCUAGGCAUCCGUAUAUCCCUGACACAUACAAUGGGACAGUGGUCACUAAUAUCCAAAGCAAAUACCCCACUCCCAUUAUAUUUCUCUGGAGUAUUUGUGAAUAUGAAGUCAGUCAAAGUCGAUUUCGUAGGGUCCUUUUAAAUUUGGACUAAUAGUCUUUGUCAUCAGCUGGGUCAAAUUUAGAUUAGUACAAAAAUCCUUUAAACAGUCAGCAUCUUGCGUUCCCCGUGCAAGAUUAAAAUCUCCAGCAAUCAACACCUCUGUGGUAGUAAAAAUGGCAAUUAAAUCAGUGAGUUCGUUUAGUACACACUUCUUGGCGAAGGGCUGACGAUAGAUUCCUAUAACUGUUAUUUUUGAGUUUGAACCCAACUGAAGACUUAAAGCCAACAAUUCAAAUUGUUUAGGACUGGAGGUCGCCUUUAACAGAGACACAGAAAGAAGAGUAUUUGUGUAAAUAGCAACACCACCCCCUUUGUCUUUCCUAUCAGCCCUAAACACAUUGUAACCAUCCGUAGCGACCUCAGAGUCCAGGGUUUUAUCAGUUAACCAGGUUUCAUAUAAAAUAAAAAUGUCAGGGUCUGACUGAGAGACCCAGAUCCAUUUUUAGGUAAUAAACUACAAAUGUUAAUAUGUAAAAAUGUCAUACCUUUUCCGUAUUUAAAAUCACACGUAGUUUCAAUACAAGUCAGAUUUACUUUGAGAUUUCAGAACAACAGGAGACUCAAAGAUUGGAUUAUACCUAUUAGGAAAAUAGCAAUGACAUUUCCCCGCUAAGCACCAUUCGACAUGUCACCACUUUCAGAUACAACGUGUGGAACUCUCACAAUGACCAAAGAGGAGAUGGUAAAAACAUACUGACAUAUAAUGCUAAUAUUGUCCUCACAUCAAUUUAGUUGACCAACAACCUUUCCAAUGUUUGAUGACAACAGCCGGGAGCCAUUUUCACCCGGAUGAAUUCAGUCUUCCGCAAAGUAGCCAGGCCUAUUCCAGAAGGAGUCAUUAACUGACGACGAAGGACAUGCCCAAGUCCUUAGUCAGACGCAUUAACCACUGGCGACGAGACCAAAAGAUGACUAAAACAUGAAAUUGAGCCCGAGACAAUGAUAUGUUUUGCUCAUUUCUGAGCUGUAAAGAAAAUAGUCUCUUAGCUUUACGGAGUUCACACGCAUAAUAUCAUUAGAUCCAAUAUGCCCCACAACUGUUUUCAGAGCAGGAAUCUGUUUCUUGAUGACUUCUGAUAAAUCCUAUUCGGGGCGGCAGGGUAGCCUAGUGGUUAGAGCGUUGGACUAGUAACCGGAAGGUUGCAAGUAUAAACCCCCGAAAUGACAAGGUACAAAUCUGUUGUUCUGCCCCUGAACAGGCAGUUAACCCACUGUUUCUAGGCCGUCAUUGAAAAUAAGAAUUUGUUCUUAACUACUUAAAUAAAGGUAAAAUAAAAAAAUUCCCUUAGCUCCAGCUUCGGAUUUCCACCAAAUCUAACCAUGGAGCGUCCCCAAAAUAAUGGUUGAUGGCUGUUGUCCAUUUCGAGCCGGAGCCCUCAGCCCCAGCUAAGAUUCCUCUAACUCGCCCCCCACAAAUGACAGGAAUAGGAGACCCUGGUGAUGCCAAUAUUAUAUUACAGUAAGUAGGAUACCAUAUAUAAGUGGUUCCUCUCUUUUUACCUUCAGUCUAGCCUGGUAGGCAACUUAAAAUAAAACCGAACAUGAUUUUCCACCUCCAUUGGCUGUAAUCGAUUCACUAGCAACUUAUUAUAUUACUACUUGUUACAAUACAGCCAUAGGUCUACAGUAGUGUCAGGAAGCACUGGGUCUAUUCACCAAGUCCACACUAUCAUGAAUAUAAACACUAAUGAAGCAACUAAGUGGUUACAGUCUCUGUAAGACUAAAUAAAAAGGUAUGUAUUGAAUUUAAACUCCCAAAACAAAACAUGUCCACCGUAUCCAAGCAGCACCAUGUGACCUAUCUCCGGCACUAUUAUUCUCCGCACUUUUUGUAAACCCUUACGCUCCUGGGUAUUGUGAGAGAAGGUGUCCCCUCCUAUAUACCACCUACACUACCGUUGUAAACAGAGGCGGUGGUGAAAAUGUUGAAUUAACCAUACAACCUUAAUCUGGAGAAAUUCACUCCAAACAUCCUAGUUCUGGGACCUUCUCUCUCCUGGCCCAUGUAAAUCCACUACCUGUUAACAGUAACUGUGUUGUAAUACCACCUGUUAACAGUAACUGUGUUCUAAUACCACCUGUUAACAGUAACUGUGUUGUAAUACCACCUGUUAACAGUAACUGUGUUGUAAUACCACCUGUUAACAGUAACUGUGUUCUAAUACCACCUGUUAACAGUAACUGUGUUGUAGUAGCACCUGCUAACAGUAGUAGUUGUAGUACUCUGUGGCUGAAAGGACAUCCUAUUCCUGGUGCAUUGGAACCUAUGGAAUAGUCACCCACCCAUCUGACUCUCCAGGCAGACUCAUUCAAACUACUCAAAUUGAACAUUACACUUGCAGAGAUAACCACCAUGUUUUAUGACACUAAUGUCUGACAGUGCUUCCUGUUUUAGAUCAAAACAGAUGUGACAACAGAUUGCCCCAAGGCUGAGAUGAGUAUCUUGCCGCUGGACCAUCCAAGACACCUCGGACUGUAAGUACUGGGCUUAAUGAAAUACUUUAAAGUGGGGCGGCAGUUAGCCUAGUGGUUAGAGUGUUGGGCCGAUGACCGAAAGAUUGCUGGUUUGAAUACCUGAGCUGACGAGGUGAAAAAUCUGUCGAUGUGCCCUUGACCGAGGCACUUAACACUAAUUUGUUCCAGGGGUGCCAUGCUACUAUGACUAACCCUGUAAAACAACACAUUUCACUGCGCCGAUCCGGUGUAUGUGACAGUAAAACAUGUCGUUUUUAUUUUUAUACUGCAAUUCAGACAAGGUGUUACUCCCUAUAUAAUGUAAUCUUUCCAAACUCAGUGCUGUUGAUUUGAACAAUCCACAUCCUGUUUACCUCUCUUUAAAUUUCCCAAAGAGUAUUUAUUGUAUUUUAAAGCAAUUUAAUUUGAUAUCAUACGAGAAUAAAAGAGAAUGUAAAUGUUACUUAUCAUAUUGGUCCGAUAUACAUUUGGUUUUUGUAUUAUUUAUUCAUUCUUAAUAAAAAGUACAUUUUUAUGCAAUUUCUUUGUGUGUGAGAAUUAUUUUUCUCCAGGUGUCCUGAAUAGAAGCAGAAAAGAAUCUUAACCAACCUCACCAUUCAUGUCACGUGCCUCUUUAUUGCAGCCGAUUGUACAGUCAGUUAAAAGAACAACACGUUUAGAUGAUAGUCGUAGUAACUAUUAGGAAUAUGAUUGGUUAAGCAUGUGGUUAAGCCUUAAUCAAAUGACACCUGAAACCAAUUUAUAUAUAAAAUGUAAUGUCUUGUCCAACAUGAAAUUAUUGUAAUCAGAAUACAAUAUCAAAUAUAUUUCUAGGUGUUACAAAAUUACAUUUAAGCACUUGUUGAGUUUAAGGGUUGGAUUUGUUCCUGUUUUCUUGAAAACAAUUGUUGGACAAAUUAGCUUUUUCAGGAUAUUGCUUUAAACCACAGUUCCUUCCUAAAAAAACACUGGGUUCAAACAGUAAAGAAUAGAAUAACAAAAUAAAGAGAUCUACUUUUAAAUAAUAAAAAUAUACAUUUUAACAUAACAUUCAGUGGCCCUCAAUCACACAGGAAGUGAACACACAGGAAGUGAACACACUGAUUGCACAUCCCAAAUGGAACCCAAUUCCUUAUAUAGAAAACUAUGUUUGACCAGAACCCACAUGGCUCUCUUGGCAUCCAUUUUAGGAGCGAGCAGAGCUGCUGCAUGUGAAUAAUGGUAAAUGGAAGAAUGUGCUGAGACAAUACACACAGAGUUGUGCAGGCAGGCUGAUGAGCUUUGUGAGAGUGAGUUGAGGGGGAAGAGCGAUUUGGUACUGAUGAAGUGUUCUUUGAGUUCAAGCUUUUUAGCGCCACUAGAGGGCAGUAGAAAGCAAAAAAUGUUUAUCACUCAAUUUUCAAAGGACCAGGUUAGUGUUUCUCAGGAACAUAGCCUCGUGCGAACCACCUGAUCUCACGAGCUUACAUUCUGUUUCGUGGUAUCAUUGUUGUUCGUUGGAAAAACACUGAACUAGGUACAUACAGUACACAAUAUAUACUUAGGAACAUUUAGUGAAGAAUGGGGGAAUCACUAUGGUAACAAAAGAACAACAUAAAAAACAGAAUUUAAAUAAUAAUAAUUUAAACGACAGACUAAACUCCCAUAGAACACUGCCCUAAAGAGCAAAAAUGAGUUAAUGUCAUUAAAUACAUGCUUAAUCAUGUGGACAAGUAUCCUGCCUCGUAUUGUGUUUUGGAGAAAAUGGGGGUCAUGUUAGCAGUAACUGCAGAAAGUAAAUAAAAACAGGUAAAGUCAAGGUAAAUAAAACACAUGUUUCUCAGUUCCACAUUAUGAGCAGUUACUGCCUUUUUGCUUGGUAGGGCAGAAUAGCUCUCCCAUAUCAUAGCACUCCCAUAUCAUAGCUCUCCCAUGUCAUAGCUCUCCCAUAUCAUAGCUCUCC